UCUAUAGCUACAGAAAGUUGACUGGAUAAGGUCUAAAGCUACAGAAAGUUGACUGGAUAAGGUCUAUAGCUACAGAAAGUUGACUGGAUAAGGUCUAUAGCCACAGAAAGUUGACUGGAUAAGGUCUAUAGCCACAGAAAGUUGUCUGGACAAGGUCUAUAGCUACAGAGAGUUGGCUGGAUAAGGUCUAUAGGCACAGAAAGUUGACUGGAUAAGGUCUAAAGCUACAGAAAGUUGACUGGAUAAGGUCUAAAGCUACAGAAAGUUGUCUGGACAAGGUCUAUAGCUACAGAAAGUUGACUGGAUAAGGUCUAUAGCCACAGAAAGUUGACUGGAUAAGGUCUAUAGCCACAGAAAGUUGUCUGGACAAGGUCUAUAGCUACAGAAAGUUGUCUGGACAAGGUCUAUAGCCACAGAAAGUUGACUGGAUAAGGUCUAUUGCCACAGAAAGUUGAUUGGAUAAGGUCUAAAGCUACAGAAAGUUGUCUGGACAAGGUCUAUAGCUACAGAAAGUUGACUGGAUAAGGUCUAUAGCCACAGAAAAUUGACUGGAUAAGGUCUAAAGCUUCAGAAAGUUGACUGGAUAAGGUCUAAAGCUACAGAAAGUUGUCUGGACAAGGUCUAUAGCUACAGAAAGUUGACUGGAUAAGGUCUAUAGCCACAGAAAGUUGACUGGAUAAGGUCUAAAGCUACAGAAAGUUGACUGGAUAAGGUCUAAAGCUACAGAAAGUUGUCUGGACAAGGUCUAUAGCUACAGAAAGUUGACUGGAUAAGGUCUAUAGCCACAGAAAGUUGACUGGAUAAGGUCUAUAGCCACAGAAAGUUGUCUGGACAAGGUCUAUAGCUACAGAGAGUUGGCUGGAUAAGGUCUAUAGGCACAGAAAGUUGACUGGAUAAGGUCUAAAGCUACAGAAAGUUGACUGGAUAAGGUCUAAAGCUACAGAAAGUUGUCUGGACAAGGUCUAUAGCUACAGAAAGUUGACUGGAUAAGGUCUAUAGCCACAGAAAGUUGACUGGAUAAGGUCUAUAGCCACAGAAAGUUGUCUGGACAAGGUCUAUAGCUACAGAAAGUUGUCUGGACAAGGUCUAUAGCUACAGAAAGUUGACUGGAUAAGGUCUAUUGCCACAGAAAGUUGACUGGAUAAGGUCUAAAGCUACAGAAAGUUGACUGGAUAAGGUCUAUAGCUACAGAAAGUUGACUGGAUAAGGUCUAUAGCCACAGAAAGUUGACUGGAUAAGGUCUAUAGCGACAGAAAGUUCUCUGGAUAAGGUCUAAAGCUACAGAGAGUUGGCUGGAUAAGGUCUAUAGGCACAGAAAGUUGACUGGAUAAGGUCUAUUGCCACAGAAAGUUGACUGGA